rnacentral:rRNA from 1 species
UACGAAGGGGGCUAGCGUUGUUCGGAUUUACUGGGCGUAAAGCGCACGUAGGCGGAUCGAUCAGUCAGGGGUGAAAUCCCAGAGCUCAACUCUGGAACUGCCUUUGAUACUGUCGAUCUGGAGUAUGGAAGAGGUGAGUGGAAUUCCGAGUGUAGAGGUGAAAUUCGUAGAUAUUCGGAAGAACACCAGUGGCGAAGGCGACUUACUGGACACAUAUUGACGCUGAGGUGCGAAAGCGUGGGGAGCAACAGG